UACGUAGGGCGCAAGCGUUGUCCGGAAUUAUUGGGCGUAAAGAGCUCGUAGGCGGCUUGUCACGUCGGGUGUGAAAGCCCGGGGCUUAACCCCGGGUCUGCAUUCGAUACUGGCUAGCUAGAGUGUGGUAGGGGAGAUCGGAAUUCCUGGUGUAGCGGUGAAAUGCGCAGAUAUCAGGAGGAACGCCGGUGGCGAAGGCGGAUCUCUGGGCCAUAACUGACGCUGAGGAGCGAAAGCGUGGGGAGCGAACAGG
rnacentral:rRNA from 1 species